CGGUGGAAGAGUAUCUCUUUCAAGCUCUUCCCAUUUUUUGAAGUCGCAUCUCUUUCUCUUUCUUUUAUCUUUGAUCUCUCUCUGUCGCUCUUAUUUUGCAGGGAAGAACCGUUGAACGAUCUUUCUGUCAAUCUCUCCCAUCUCACUAGAAUUGUGGAUGCUUGAGUGAUAGCCGCUGGGUUUUAGAAGGACGUUCUGGUGAUCGCGGUUGGAGCACCAUAACCCCCUUCUUUUGAAAGUUUCUUUAUUUAAGUGUAUGUGAUAGAUGGCAGUUUGGUCAUAUAGUUCGUUUUGUAUUGGAACUAUGUACUUUUGUUGGGCCUUUUGUGCUUUAGACUUUUUUAUAAUAUUUUGGAGCUAAUAUAUAUAGUUUGGGACUUGUUUGUCCAACCCUUUGUGGUCA